GCCUGGGUGGCUUAGUAGGUUGAGCAUCUGACUUCGGCCCAGGUCAUGAUCUCGUGGUCCAUAAGUUCAAGCCUCAUGUCAGGCU
rnacentral:tRNA from 1 species